ensembl:snoRNA
AGCCUUUGUGUUGCCCGUUCACCGUUGGUCACUAGUGAAUGUGGUGUCAAAAAAGGCUUAAAGUAAUGCUUCGCGGCCUUUUCUUAACCCUGGAGUUUGGUACCUUGGGUGUAGGAGCUGCGUAAGUGACAGGU